rnacentral:hammerhead_ribozyme from 1 species
AUUCAGAUGACGAGUCCUAAAUAGGACGAAACGUGCGUGGUGUAU